UCUGAACCACGACCAGCGCCGGUACGCUUUCGGUUCCUGAAAGACGCUCCCAGCACGUGGAGCUAAAACGUCGUACAUGGGUGCUGAACAACACGCGGCACAACAGCACAGCAGCGAAAACCGGCACAGUGCCCCUGCCCUUCCCGUGUGCCCCCCAGGAAUGGCAAACAUGGAGAGCGAGUUUGGUGGGGCGGCCCAUCUAGUUGCACAAGACGGAGGAGGAGCGGCUGGAGGAGCGGGCUCGCCCCUGCUGCUUGCAGCGCGUGGUCCUUUGUAUUCCACGAGAAGAUGGAGUUCGUCCAGGCGCGUCGUCCAGAGAAGCGAGGGCGGAAAGUGGUGGCAGUGGUGAAGAACUCGGAGGUCAACCAGAUGAACCCGCCCAACUUCGACAAGAUCGGGGUCACGGCCAUGCUGAUCUCCCUCAAUGAGUCGCCCGUGCUAGUCAACCUCAAAGAGCGAUCCUCCGUCGUCGAUGAUCUACGGAGGGCAUCGUGGCCUGCAGGAAUGGAACUCGGGUCGCAGGGUUCGUGCCAAAGUCAGCUCAUCGUGCAUGACACGUACCAGGAGAAGCAGGUGAACGGCAAGCGGCCUCGCUCCCCUGCGGCAUCUCCACCACUCCUCGUCAGCUCCUCCCGCCGCAGUCCAUCCCAGUUGUUUCUGCUCUCCUGCCCGCACGGUUGGCUACGUACGGUGUGAAAAAAAGUCCAGCGUACAUACAGCUGCUUCUCGGCUCACCCACUCUCCCUCCUUUGAAAAUAAUUUCUUGAAAACGGCGUUUUGUGUCUCGUUUGUUGUCUUUCCGCCGCACCUCUGAUCAGCACGGUUGGCUACGUACGGUGCGAAAGUUCAACAUCCAUACAUACUCCUCCUCCUCUCAGUCCCACACGCGCUUAUCCAGCUCCUCUCAACCUCCUCUGCCACAUGGAAGCUUCUCUCCUGCGAUUCCAUUCCCGCUCUCUACCCCUCGCUUCCCCCAGCUCCUCCCCCAUGCUUCACAUCCUCCAUUCUGGUCUUCCUCCUCUCGAGGCCACAGUGCGGCUCGCCGGCUUCUCCACAAGUCCUUCUCCUCGCUGCCUCCAUCACUCCAAACCACUCCGCCGCUGGUUUAAUCCCCUGGCCGUUUGUAACAUAGUGUUGAUCCUCACGCCGCUGUUGCUGCUGACAAUUAUGCUGUUAAUGCUCACGAUGUUAAUUCAGUCGCUGCUGCUGCUGCCAGCAGUAGUUUCUGCUACGAAUAUCGAUGCUGUCAUUGCUGCUGAUGAUAAAGGCGCUGUUGCUACCGAUGUUGACACUGCUGUUGUGAACGAUUACAAUACCGCUGCCACUGCCGAUGAUGUUUCUUGCCCCGUGUCCUCCAGCAGAAGGGAGAUGAGGGAAUGAGGGAGGACGAGCCGUGAUGGACGCACGCACCACCCCGACUGCGAUUUCCCCCCCUCGCCCCAUCACCGUGGCGGCCGCUCACCUCAGCACCUGGCGAGGGCACCGUGCCGUCCGCUUCAUGAAUUUGAGGAAGAGGCGGUCGCCGUGGCGUGCGCACGCCGGCUCGUACUCCUCCCGCGCUCCACCAACCCCGCCGCUGCCGCCACCGCUGUCACUGCUGGGCGAGAGGUGAUUUUUUUUCCGUGGUGAGGUCAAAACGACGCGUGUCUCCGUGUGCGUAUCCGCGGGGGGAGCAGCGGUUUAGCGGUAAGCGCGCUUGCGCUACGAAACCCGGCGACCCGAGUUCGAUUCCUCGCUCACGAACAACACCGGUGACGAUUUUCUGAAUAGAUUCUGGGCCUCCCCGAGGUCGACUCAGCCUCAAAUGAGUACCUGGUGCGAUGUGUGAACAUCGCUACUGGGGAGACAAAGGCGGCUGGGCGUGGUGCUGGCCACUCACUUCAUUGGUGCUCGCUAACAGCAAUUACCCCAAUAGUCUGUUAAGGCUACAUGGGGGAUCUUUGUCUGUGUGCAUGUGGUGCUCACUAGGCCACACGGGGGGGGGGGGGGUGGGGCUGGGGGCAUAUUUAUCUUUGUGUGUGGUGCGCAUAUUGCGUUUAUAUUCCAAUCACGCAUGUGAGAGUCGAUUAUUGUUUUAAUUCCUAAAUGUGGUAUGUAACAAAUAUUCCAGGGAUAUCUGCAUGCACUUAAGAUGCGCUACAAUCGCCACAAUGCAACUUUCUGAUUUCUGUUGUAACUUCGUGAUCCGACCAUAAAGGACAUCUGUGAAAAAUUGCUUCAUAGCUCAUCAGAUUCCUCCAGUCGAAAUAAAGAUUCUGAAGUAUGGAAUUGAUUGUUGAUCUGAAUCACGACUUCGAAUCGUGAGACAAUUCAUUGAAUUGCGAGCGGAGCGAAUCGUUACGAGGCC